rnacentral:rRNA from 1 species
CAUCAUGCCCCUUACUGACCUGGGCUACACACGUGCUACAAUGGUUGGUACAACGAGUUGCGAGUCGGUGACGGCGAGCUAAUACUCUUAAAGCCAAUCUCAGUUCGGAUUGUAGGCUGCAACUCGCCUACAUGAAGUCGGAAUCGCUGGUAAUCGCGGAUCAGCACGCCGCGGUGAAUACGUUCCCGGGCCUU